rnacentral:rRNA from 1 species
UACGGAGGAUCCGAGCGUUAUCCGGAAUUACUGGGCGUAAAGAGUUGCGUAGGUGGCAUUGUAAGUUAAUAGUGAAAGCGUUCGGCUCAACCGAAUAUCCAUUAUUAAAACUACAAAGCUAGAGGAUGAGAGAGGUUAUUGGAAUUCCUUGUGUAGGAGUGAAAUCCGUAGAUAUAAGGAGGAACACCGAUGGCGUAGGCAGAUAACUGGCUCAUUCCUGACACUAAGGCGCGAAAGCGUGGGUAGCAAACGGG